AACGAACGCUGGCGGCAGGCCUAACACAUGCAAGUCGAGCGAGGACUUCGGUCCUAGCGGCGGACGGGUGAGUAACGCGUGGGAACGUGCCCUUGGCUUCGGAAUAGCCCUGGGAAACUGGGAGUAAUACAGGAUGAGACAUUUGGGGGAAAGACUGAUCGGCGAAGGAUCGGCCCGCGUUGGAUUAGGUAGUUGGUGGGGUAAUGGCCUACCAAGCCGACGAUCCAUAGCUGGUUUGAGAGGAUGAUCAGCCACACUGGGACUGAGACACGGCCCAGACUCCUACGGGAGGCAGCAGUGCGGAAUCUUAGACAAUGGGGGAAACCCUGAUCUAGCCAUGCCGCGUGAGCGAUGAAGGCCUUAGGGUUGUAAAGCUCUUUCAGCUGGGAAGAUAAUGACGGUACCAGCAGAAGAAGCCCCGGCUAACUCCGUG
rnacentral:rRNA from 1 species